GAGGGUCUAACUCAGUGGUAGAGUGCAAACUUAGCAUGUACAAAGUCCUGGGUUCGAUCCCCAGUACCAUUA
rnacentral:tRNA from 1 species